UAUACUGCAAGUCGAGCGGACAGAUGGGAGCUUGCUCCCUGAUGUUAGCGGCGGACGGGUGAGUAACACGUGGGUAACCUGCCUGUAAGACUGGGAUAACUCCGGGAAACCGGGGCUAAUACCGGAUGCUUGUUUGAACCGCAUGGUUCAAACAUAAAAGGUGGCUUCGGCUACCACUUACAGAUGGACCCGCGGCGCAUUAGCUAGUUGGUGAGGUAACGGCUCACCAAGGCAACGAUGCGUAGCCGACCUGAGAGGGUGAUCGGCCACACUGGGACUGAGACACGGCCCAGACUCCUACGGGAGGCAGCAGUAGGGAAUCUUCCGCAAUGGACGAAAGUCUGACGGAGCAACGCCGCGUGAGUGAUGAAGGUUUUCGGAUCGUAAAGCUCUGUUGUUAGGGAAGAACAAGUACCGUUCGAAUAGGGCGGUACCUUGACGGUACCUAACCAGAAAGCCACGGCUAACUACGUGCCAGCAGCCGCGGUAAUACGUAGGUGGCAAGCGUUGUCCGGAAUUAUUGGGCGUAAAGGGCUCGCAGGCGGUUCCUUAAGUCUGAUGUGAAAGCCCCCGGCUCAACCGGGGAGGGUCAUUGGAAACUGGGGAACUUGAGUGCAGAAGAGGAGAGUGGAAUUCCACGUGUAGCGGUGAAAUGCGUAGAGAUGUGGAGGAACACCAGUGGCGAAGGCGACUCUCUGGUCUGUAACUGACGCUGAGGAGCGAAAGCGUGGGGAGCGAACAGGAUUAGAUACCCUGGUAGUCCACGCCGUAAACGAUGAGUGCUAAGUGUUAGGGGGUUUCCGCCCCUUAGUGCUGCAGCUAACGCAUUAAACACUCCGCCUGGGGAGUACGGUCGCAAGACUGAAACUCAAAGGAAUUGACGAGGGCCCGCCACCAGAUGGAGCAUGUGGUUUUAUUCUAAGCAGCGAACACCCUUACCAAGUCUUGACGUCCUCUGAC
rnacentral:rRNA from 1 species